rnacentral:lncRNA from 1 species
AGCUGGGGCUGACUGCACUUUGUCUGAGGCAGAGGUGAGGUGGGCGUGGCCGUCCCACCCCUAUUCCUGAACGGACAGGUUAGACCAUUAUUACUAUUAGUUCUUUUUGGGGUUGGUUUUUUUUUUUAAUAGCAAUUUACAUUUUCCAAAAAUGCCCAAGAAAGUCCUAUUAUUCUCCUCCUCCUCCGUCCCCCCUUUCUGGACUACAGUGCUCCCCAGAUCAGGACUGCCACCACCCUGCACAUCCUGAGCAGAGACUCAGGGCCCCCUGCCCCUUCUUCCUUCCCUCCACCCAUCCAACAGGUUCUAGUGAAGUGCCUGGCACAGUGUUUGUUGAAAUGAACUGAGACAGAGGUGAUUCCGAAAGGCGGGGCAGGGCUCCUCCUGGGCACACCCUUUCCACGCGUGUAUCUGCGGACGGGGAGGACGCAGGACUGACGGCAGCAUUUGAACGAAGGGGGUUGGGGUAUUGGCCUUUCCAAAGGCAACAAGUCCCGGCCCUCAUUAUCCCCGCUGGGAUGGGGCAGGAAGGAGCUUUCCCCGGGGACCCUGAGGCCAAGCCGCUCGCUGACUUUGAUCUCUCCCUCUUCAGUGAAGGAACAAAGCUCUGCCUGCCGAGGGGAGCUGCCUGCCCUUAGCCCAAAUCCAGUCGGGGCUGACUCC